rnacentral:rRNA from 1 species
CCUACGGGAGGCAGCAGUGGGGAAUAUUGCACAAUGGGGGAAACCCUGAUGCAGCGACGCCGCGUGAGUGAAGAAGUAAUUCGUUACGUAAAGCUCUAUCAGCCGGGAAGAAACACUGACCUUACGGUCAGCAGACGGUACCUGAGUAAGAAGCCCCGGCUAACUACGUGCCAGCAGCCGCGGUAAUACGUAGGGGGCAAGCGUUAUCCGGAUUUACUGGGCGUAAAGGGAGGGUAGAAGGUGCGCCAAGUCUGGACGGAAAUGCCGCAGCUUAACUGCGGAACUGCUUUGGAAAAUGGCGAACUAGAGAGCGGGAGGGGUAAGCGGAAUUCCUAGGGGAGCGGUGAAAUGCGUAGAUAUUAGGAGGAACACCGGUGGCGAAGGCGGCUUACUGGACCGUAACUGACGUUGAGGCUCGAAAGCGUGGGGAGCAAACAGGAUUAGAUACCCCUGUAGUC